UAGGAUUAGACUAGCAUUACUACUGUCCAUCCAUGGGUUUUAGAGCCAUAUAGAGCAUUAUCUCCAUCCCUGGAGGUAUUCAAGAAAUGUUUAGAUGUUGUAAUGAGGGACAUGGUUUAAUGGGAAAUAUUGGUGAUAGGUGAAUGGUUGGACUGGAUGAUCUUGGAGGUCUUUUCCAAUCUUGGUGAUGCUAUGAUUCUAUGAUUGUUGCCAUGUUCUUUCAGCAAGGUGCUCUGAGCACAGACCCUGCCCAGCAGCACUGUUCUGGCUGAUCCCUUCCCAACAUUUGCAGCCAGCCUGCUCCCACCCACAGAGGAAAGGGCACUGUCAGCGGUGGGAAAGGGACUGGCUGCUGCCGCCACUCUGUCUGUGACUCGUAGCCUUUAUCCUUAGUGUGCCACAGUGGUUCUUCCUUUCUUUUCUUUCUUCAUUUUUUUUAUUAUUAUUUUUUUUAAUUAUUAUUUUUUAAGCCGCAAACAAACACAACCUACAUAAAUGGGGUGUGGACUACGUGGCUCAAGGACUCAGGAUGAUUAAAAGCAGGAGCCAUACAGAGACAUCCAGAAAUGAUUGUUUUUAACAAGACAGGAACUUUGUCUGAAAACAGGAUGACCUGCUACAAAAGACGCCAACAAAUCCCCGUAGAGCUUUAGAAAAAACAAGCAGGCGCCUGAGUGUGCUUAAAAAAAAAAAAAAAAAAAAAAAAAAUCCUGCCUGGUAAUAAAAAGGCAUGUAAGGGUAAACAGGAAAAGAGCACUCCACACUGCAAGCAGCCCGGAGGAGGAAAGGCUGGGAAGAGCGCUGAUCUGAAAACCUGAUAUGGAAACUGAAGAGAACGAUUUCUUCAUAUCCCUGGUACAAACUCCCUCUGCAAACACAAUGCCGGGGCAGCUGUGAACAGCACUUGCCUCCAGGUUUUACUGUGCCUUUCUUCCAGUCCUUUCCAGUGAAGGCUGUGGGACAGCAGCAGACGCUCCACAGGUGGUGUUGGUUUGCUUCAGUGGCUGUAAAGCAACGUCAUUUCAGACUUCCACGAAAGAGUUUUUUUUCUAGUGCAAAAACUUUAUUUCCUGAAGGUGAAAUGACUGCAGUUCAGCCCACCUGUGCUGCAUUUACACAGCUCUCUCCCAGUUUUAGCAUGAAUCUCUUGACAUCUGUUGUGUUUUCCGCUAAGCUUUGGCUCCAUCAGUCUUGCUGAAUUUUAAAAUCAAAUGCCAAUUUGAAGAAUUAGGAUAUUGAUAGACUUCAUCACGCUGAUAACCCCUGCUUGUUGGCAGAAUAUGCAGACUCAGCUCCUAAGCAGUUUUCCCAUCACAGCCUGCAUGUCACCAGCUAGAGACCCAUGACAGCGGCCACCACGGUACAUACUGUGAGCUCCCGUGCAGCAGCUAUCCCCUUCGUUGUGCUCCAAAGCUGAGCACUGCCUCAGCACUGAAAUUACAGCCUGUCACAGCCUGUGUUAACAUGUGGCCAGAAGCAGCUUCUGCAGCAGCCGUACAACCCGCGACUGGAAAAGGUCCAACCCUCAGGCACAGGGCCUGGCCCUGCAUAAAGGCAGACCAGCAGUGUGGCUUCCUGCUGCUGCAUGGUGGCUGUCAGCCCUGAGGUGGCUCCUCCUGAAGGAAGGUCCUGAAGAAAUGCUGCAGUCCCAAAGACUUCCAUGGCCUCACAGAAACCAAUGAGGCUGGAUACUCAUGGUGAUGGAAAUAUUAGAGACAGCACAGGUGCAACUGCCUCUGAUUUUCACUGUGGGUUUAGCAUCGUUCCACUCAGGCUACUAGGAAGAAGGCAGUAUCAGCUGUGAAUGACACAAGAACAACUGGGGAAGAGGAUGAGAAAACUGUGAAAGAAUUGCUGGGGGAGAUGCCUGGGGACAUUGGCAGUGUUUUGAGCCAGCUUCUGAAGAAAACCUGGAGAAGUCUUACUGGAGCUGAAGUUGCUGCAUGAAGGAUAGAGGGAAACAAGGGUGGAUCCUCUUCCCCACAGUGAUGCCAUGAUAAAGGAUGACCAAUAGCUGUAAGGAGAAAGAACAUAUAAGGGACAAGCCGAGAUAACACUUAGUAAGGGAUGGAAAAUGCCAGGCCUUCGUAUGGUCUACUGACUCCCUGGCCAAGAUGUGUCCUGCAGCUGAUGUAUAGCCCUAAGCAGGAAACAGCCAGGGCAUGCAUUUCAUGAGUGGGGUAUAUGAGGCGGUACUUCAUCUCCAGGCCUCAGUGGAGGACACAGAGCAGAGGCAAUAUCAUGAGGGGACGUAGCAGGCAUAGACAUGAUUUUUCAUCAUGCUUGUUUACAAUGCGGCAGCUCGACUGGACUUGCUUAUUUAUGUUGAACUGCACAGUGUGCAAGCACUCAGCAAAGAGGCAGGUAUCCAAAACCAAGGUGUUAGUACAGGCUGCAAAUCAAGAGCACGGUGAACUGAACAUGGUCACAAACAGGCUUUAAUAUUGCACUGCAGAACAGUAACUCCCACACUAAAUGAAGAAAAGGGUUAAAUUUGUAGACGGCUGGCUUUGCAUAGUCUGGCUAGGCCCACCACACUGAUAUUUAUAAACUCUCAGUGGAUGACUGAGAGCAGCUCCAGGCCUGCCGAGGGCAGACUAGCUCUCUAGCAACACACUGCAGGUGAAUUUAAGGGUGUGGUAAUUGAGCUGGGCUUGGGUCACCCAGUAGCAGUCUGAACCCAGCCAGCCAUGCUAGGCAUAGCUCUACACUCCUGAACAAAGUGUUCCAUUAGGCCUGCUGGAGCCUGGGCAGCCUCCACUAGUCAGGCUUUCUCUUUCUGAAUUUUAUGCAAUGAAAAGAAUGGGAUAGGCAGGGCGUGCAAGGAGGAUUUUGUUCACUUCCAUAAAGAAUCCAGACUACAGCUAAGCAUCUGGAAACAUGCUUCUUGGGAUUUCAGUGUUGCAUCUAAAAUGCUAUGUUAUGACAGGGAGCAGAAGAAAAAAGGAUCAGUGACUUUGCAGAUGAAUGACCAACGUACUAACAUGACAAAAUGAGCUCUUGGUUUGCCAUAAAUACAUUAUCUAAGCUUUCAAGGGUUGAUCAGUAAGAAUGCAAAAUCUCUUUCAAAGGAUGUAGAUGAGAAGGAGGGGUACUCAUCAGAAUUAAAGAACAGCUUUUGCUAGACUGGUGUUCCUGGCAGGUUACACCUGCUUCCCACUCUGUGCCUUGCUGCCACUCUGUCUGGAGCAACGUGCUUCUAACAAUAGCUGGUAGCUGCAAGGUACAGAGUGUGCUACGCAGCUCGUUUCCUCUUCCUCCUGCCUGAUUGUUAUUGCAGAGCUCCCAGCAAGAAGGGCUCUUUAAUGCCAUUAAGUCACAAGAAACUGUGGCUUUGAUAGUGAGGAUCUGAUUUAAUGCAAUACCAAGUCAAAGAAAAACAUUUAAAGAGAGAAGAUGCCUUUCUCUAAGUGCUUUGUACUGUAAAGCUUCUGUAUAUACACAUACACUCACAUGCUCACACAUCCUGGAGGAGGUGCGUGUCCAGAAGGGAAAUCCUGCCUGCACCGGAGUUCAUGACAAAUGUUCCCACUGACCUUGGCAGGGCAGAGUUUCAGCCACUGUCUGUGUAUGUGGGGGACGGUGUGGAAGUGUUCAGGCAUGAUAUGUCUGUAUUUACUUGCUGUGAAGGACUGUGGGAGCCUGAACAUACUAGCAAUGUACCAAAAUACAAAUGGAGAGUAAGAGGUUGUCCCCAGGACAAGGCCCAGGAGCGUUGCCAUGCCUUCCUGCACCACAUGUGGUCUCCUGCAGCUUUGUCUGUAUGCAGGUUGUGGGAGCACCCUAGGCAGUGACCUUACUCACCAUCAGAGUCUUGGUGGGGUCUUGGCUUGCUUGCUUGUUUUUGGCUUGGUGACUUUUUUGUGUGUGAUGCUUUCUUGUUUGUCUUUUUAACACAUAUUGGGGUUAGUCUAAAAAUUGCUCAACUGCCUUCAUUCUUCUGCUCUCAAAAUAGAUAGGACAGUUUUUGAGGGCCAAUUAGAAGGGCCAGCUGGCCCUUGAAUAACCAUAAUCCUGCAUUCAGUGAUUUCACUCUGCUUGAUUUUACCUUCAGAUAUGUUUUCAGUGUGGCAGAAGGACAAGAAACCUACUUCUACAAGUAAUUUAGUGGUUAUGCACUUCAAAACUCCCAUUUUAAUGCUGAUUGUAAUUCUAUUCCACUGUUUUUUUCUAAAAUCUGUUUUGAAUUUGUGCACCUCUAAGCAUCAUUCAGUGAUAUUAUAGGUGGAAACAUAAGAUCCAGUAUAAUGAACACGAAUCCUGUUUUCCUGGAGACCUUUUAUAGAUCUACUGAAGGUAAUUCAGAGACUCACAGUUUAAAGACCUGCUUUAAUUUGUGUAGCUGUAAUGUGCCAAACUUGAGUGGCUAAUUUCGUAUCAGUCACUGAAUGCAGUGGGCCAGCCACAUGACUUCCUUAAUUUAAAAUGUGUUUUGUAUUUAUGGGUUCCUCCUGUUUGUAACUAUCAUUUUGUAACAGCUGCCCUGUGGUACAGCAAGCACCACAAAGCAGAAUCCCUAUGUCUGAAAGGCACUUCCUUCCCCCUUCAUCUUGACAGCACACAUCUGAGCCAAGGUUCCUCUGUGCAGAACCGGGUUGGUCCCAAUACUGGGGCUCUCACUCCUGCUGGAAAGCACUGCACAUCCAUGACUGAGACCAGAUUUGGGGCAGUAUGCCAAGUUCUUUUGAGGAUUUGGGCCUGGCUGUAAAUGUCACAGCUGGUGGCUUCCCACUGUUGAAAAUCUGCUGCAAUAUUAUGGAUGAUGAGCAUUUGGAAAAUCUGGUGCUGAAGACCAGCAGUCAAUAGGGUGAUGUAAAGGAGAGUGGGACAAGGCCCAGAGCUGCAGCACAGGAAAGCAGGAAUACAUUCAAAGUCAUAGACAUUGUCUGUGCAGGAUUCCAAAUACCUGGCAAAACCAAAGCAAAACAUGAGCAUUACUAAAAAACAUCAGGUAGACCUAUUUCUGCGUAGCAAGUAUAAAACCUUGAAUUACUUCCAAAAAAGAUCUGAAUUACCAUUACCAGUGCUCCUGCAGAAGCACUCUGAACUAAGAGCUUGAAGCCAGAGACUUCCAGUUACACUGGAAAAAUGCAUUCUCACUCCCAUGCGGAGUGGUGGCUCCUUGGACAUGUUCCACGUUUCACUGGAAGAGCUGGCAAUAUCGUAAAUUCCAGAAGAAAAGCUGCUGAACUGCUUUAAGAUUAUUUUAAAGAUGUGUACAAACUACUUUCAGAAAAUUAUGAUCACUGUUUUUUUUUGUUGUUGUGAAUCUUCACGUUUACUCUUCCUUACAUACUAUUUACCUUCUCCCUUUGGAGCACCGUUGUAUAUGGAAACCUGCUCAGCACAACACAUAAACAGCUGUGGUAAGCAGUCUAUAAAGAUGUAAAGAGCAGUUGUUGUCACUGUACUAACAAAGCAGAUUUUAUCAAAUUUGCCUUCAAACCAGGCUCUCAGCUGCUCCCAAGCAUAUCGAGAUGACCCCUACAUGUGUUAGCAAUAUGCUACAAUGACAUACAUGUGUUCCUACGUAGCCUAUUCCAGCACAGGUUUCUUUGUUCACAAUCACAUUAUGCAUGUGUUUGUUAUUCAUGUUUCUGCUUCCACAACUUUCCUUUGAUGUAAGUACAAUACAACUUUUUCAUCGUUAUUUGAAACAGAAACGUCGGGACAAAAGGAGCAUCAAAUAUAGGAAGUACUGAGUUACAUUUUGCCAGUGGUUUAUACCUUUUCUGUAUGUUAAAGUCAUCAAUAACAUAUUUUCAGAAGAAAAAUGAAUGACUUGACUUUUGUUCAGACUACAGGCUUAGCGUAAAGGUCAGACUGUGAUGCCGUGACACAGUGACUGCUCAAAGUCUGCCGCAGAGAGUUUGUGUCAGGGGCAGGAGCAGAUUCACAUUGUCUUUAGCAGUGCCAGAGACAUUUUUUUCUGAAGAGAACAUUAGCUUUUAAGUCUCCUGCAAGUCCUCUGAAAAAUAAAUAUACAUCUUUGGAAAGUGACUGGAAAGAUGCUUACAUGAGAGCUGGAAAAGAUGCUCAAUAUCAAUCUGUACUUUCCUCUUUAAGUGUUUCUGAGCCACAUCUUCACCUGCAAUUAACUCACAUGGCGUAUGAAGAUACACUCCUCUGUGCUUAACCUUUAAACAAAAUUUCUCUGAUUAUUGGCCUUCAUUCCCAGUGUGACUGAGAAACGAGCAGGGCAGAUGGGAGCAGGCGUUCCCAGUUGAUGCUACAGAACAUUUCUGUGAUGAUUUAAAGCUGUGUUAAACAAUAGCUUGUUCACAUUCAAUUUCAGAGCAUCCCAAGAUGCUGUAUGAGGCAGGGAAGAGAACUGAAAUUGCUUUUGCGGAGAUGCUAGGCAUAAUUAAAGGCUCAUGUCUGGAUCUUACAGCUAACAAACUGCUGUACAACAAGGGAAGCGGCUCCCUAAGUAGUUUUUUUUACAAAACACUAAAUAUACUGUUGUAACAAUAAAACCUAACCAUCCAGCUGCCAGCACAUUGUGUGCGUGUGGCACUGUGGACAUCAUGUCCACCCCCUCCCCUCAAAUCCAUCCCCUUCUGCUGUUGGAAAAUAGCAAAAGUCCUACCAGGAGCUACUGAGAAGUUUAAUAAAAAUAAAUUGGAGCUGCUUAAUCCACUUCUGCAAUCUGGCUGUACUUGUUCUGAAAAUCAGGACUGCACCUUUGGAAAAGUGCAGAUGUAAAUGUAAAGUGCAGAGUAAAGUGAGAAGCUGUGAGCACUGCCUUGCAGAAGGGCAGAAAAAAGGCCUCUCGCCGUCUCCCCUUUUGACAUGACAGAUAAAGGCAAAUGCGUGAAGGUCUUAAAGCCCCACUGCAGAGCAGGAAGAGGAAAACAAAUGGCACCACACCAUAUGCCCAUAAUCCCAACUAAAAGGCAUUCAAAUUCAUUUCUCCUCAGCUUCCCUUUUACACACCAGUGAACAAGUGUGUUUGACAACACAGUGUGGGAGUUUCCAGUUCAUUGAGCGGGUUUCCUUCACCUUUGCUCAGGCUUCCACCUGAAUGUCCUGCUCCCAACCACAAGAUGGAUCCCAGGUGGGCUGGUGGGGACCAGAAAUGGGAGCCCCCGGGCACUGCACCUCACACACGGGGCUCUGGGAGGAAGCAAACUGGGAAACUGGAUGCAGGUUGAAGAGAAAGUGCUGGGCUUGGCAGGAAAGCAAUGCUCUCAGGCCCCAACUGCCACCAUGCUGAGCUCGCUGCCUUUGCUAGGCCUGGAGCUUGCCAUGUGUGAGGAAUGCACCUGGGGAAGUGCCUUGCAGGUUGCUGGGACCAGUGGCCUUCAAUAGGCAGGAGCAGCAGGCCAGAGCAGCAGGCACAACAGCUGAGGUGAUGCCAACCGAUGCUGGAAGAAGGAGGCAAGGGAAAAGUGCUGCAGGAUGCUUGGGAGACUGGAAAAUGCCUCGGAGCCAGCGGAGCCAUGAGCGUGUGAGUGGAAGGCAGCAUGGGCUGCUCAUUAGAGCCUGAGCGCAUUGAGAGCAGGAGAGGAUGCUCACAUGGCAAAUCAAUUUGCAGGCAUCAAAUUGAUUUAAAAAAAUGCAAAAGGAUGCACUCACCAUUAUAAAUCGAAUAGGAAGAGCAGCAGAUAAACAUGGUCCAUGGUUCAUAAAACCACAGUUAGAGAGAGUGGAACCUUUUUCUCAGGCAAGAUAGCAGGCAGUGUGCCCUUAUGUCUCAUCUGCAGUUUUUCACAUUUCUAUUUUUCACAUUUCCAAUGCCAAACUAAUUAUUUUCCUCCAAAGGUCCUUUCCACUUCUCUUCAUCCUCAUCCUUCUGUUGACAUUGACUGGACGUAUAAUCACAGCAUCGCUUUUCAGUAUUUGACUCUUGCUUCAAAUCCUUUUUUCUCCCUUGUAGCAUCUCUGAGAUCUCAACCAAGGAUCCAAAACACUUGCUUAUAACUUCACAGUCUCCAGGUUUUGGGUUUCACAUCCCCCUCCUUACCAUCCUUUUCACACCUCCAUCCCACUGCUUCCUACACAGAGUACAGCUGCCAGGUUGAUGAUACAGAUGUAGAGAUAAAAUCCAAUUCUCCAGAGCUGCCUUAGUAACACUUUUUCAGCGUACAGUUCCAGAUACUUUUCUUUGCAUGCAUUUUCUCUGUGCUUUCAGGUUCACCAUGCUGACUUUGCCUCUUGAGCAGGCGCAGCACCCAAGAGCUGUAGCAGGGUGUUAUUCUCCACCCUCACUCACAUCACAGGGAAAACAAGAGUAGUCGGAGUGAGCACCAAACCAGCUGUUUGAUAGAUGUUAAGUCAAGCAAGAGGUUGCACUACAAAGUGAUAGGAAAUAGGCUGUCAUGUUCUUCCAUUACCCCCAAGCCUGACUUCUCCCAGCACUGCACAUCUCCUUGGCCCUGCUUCUAACUCCUCGGUAUCUCAUACCAUCCUCAUGCGCUUUUCAGUGCUCAGAUCUCUGCUAUGUCCUUGCCCCACUCCGUCUCCACGUUGAGACAGCCUCAGUGUCUGCUUUCUGACUGACCUGGGCCAUCCUCCCCGAUGGCUUUCAGUGAGCUGAACAAGCAUAUUCUGCACCGGUUCAAUCCCAUCAGAUUUUCAUACUAUUUUUGAUGAUAAAAAUCUGUAGGAAAGAUCCAGAGGGUGUCAUUCUCCGAAAAAGCUGAAGAUUUCCUGAAAAUUUCAUCCUGAAAUGUGUACCAAGAAUGGAAAAGUAACUUAAGGCAGUUAAAGUUCAAGAAAUGUAUGGGAACUGCUUCUUACGAAAAGAAAUGUAGGAAGUGAUGGCUACCACCCAGUCUGUGGUUUAAGUUUAUUGUAGGAGUUCUUGCCUACUGUUUUCCUAACCAGGAGUAAGGCUCCCAAAUGAGCUAAUUCUCUAUGUCAAGCCAUACUAGUUCUAUAUAAACUGCAAUAUUUACUUAAAAUCCUCUUGCAGACAAUGUAGUGAUGCAAACUGUCCCAUAGUGGCUGCUCACAAUGUCAUUAUUAUACAUCUCAUUAUCCCAAGACAGCUGGCAAAAAUGAGCUGGGUAAUUUACACACAACUUUGAAACUGUGCCUGCAUUUUGAACUGUGUCAGCAGCCGUGGCUUCUUCACAGCCUCUUAAAUGGGCAGCUACCAAGCAGUGUGAGGACAUGGAGAGACAAGAAGGAGCAAGAGCCAUCCCUCCUAUGCGGUGGUUAUUCUCCUUCCUGGUCACUUCUUGCUGUGUGUCUGUGCUGUGUGAGGUGAUCCACAGCAGAAGUGGGGAUCUGCAGGGAGGCACCACAUUCUGAGGCUGCCUCACGGUGCUCAGUUUGACAGGCCCAUUGUUUGCACAACACUAAUACCAAACUGAUGCUUUUGGGAAACUCCACCCAUGAGCGAUCUGGAAAAGUUCCUGGUGUGCCCAAUGAGACCAGCCAAAUGCAAAAUAUUGUUUUAAAGGAAAAGGAUGGGAGAGAAGAGAAGGUGAAAACAG
ensembl:lncRNA